UACGAAGGGGGCUAGCGUUGCUCGGAAUCACUGGGCGUAAAGGGUGCGUAGGCGGGUCUUUAAGUCAGGGGUGAAUCUGGAGCUCAACUCCAGAACUGCCUUUGAUACUGAAGAUCUUGAGUUCGGGAGAGGUGAGUGGAACUGCGAGUGUAGAGGUGAAAUUCGUAGAUAUUCGCAAGAACACCAGUGGCGAAGGCGGCUCACUGGCC
rnacentral:rRNA from 1 species